rnacentral:lncRNA from 1 species
GUUCGAUGUCAGGGCUACGAGAGUCCCGAGGACGUCUGGGAGACAGAGCAGGGGCUUGGGCCUCCCAGCUGCCGGGAUCCGCUGCUGGGCCCCGGGCCAGGAGCACCAGGCUUCAGCCUCCCUGGUGCCGCUCCCACCACCCUGGUCCCGACUCAUGUGCCCCCCCAGCCUCUGUGCCCCCGUUUCCUCCUGUGACACCUGUCCAGACACCGUCUGAGCCCCUACUCGAACUCAAGCUCCCAGAGCCGGGGACCCAGGACUGCCGACUGAGACUCCAUCUCAGUGCCGUGCACCCAGGAGACCCAGGGGAGCUCCUCCGUGUGUUGAGUGAAUUCACGAUGCCGCCAUGUGAAAAUGGCUUCAUUCUGUCCCUCAGCAACGUGUGGGUUUGGGUCCAAAAUCGGAGACAGCACCGCCAGGUGUCAGCCCCACCUGCUCCGGUCCCUGGGCCUAGCGGGCCACACCCACCCUGCACAGCCUUAGUCCUCCUCCCUCAGCUUCACACAAACACACACCCCCCACACACACCCCACACACACACAUCCCACACAGACACACCCCCCCACAUAUCCCAUACAGACACACCCCAGAGACACCCCACACACACACACCCCAGAGACACACCCCACACACAUAUCCCAUACAGACACACCCCAGAGACACUCCACACACACAUAUCCCAUACAGACACACCCCAGAGACACCCAACAUGCAGACACACCCCAGAGACACCCCCCCACACACACAUAUCCCAUACAGACACACCCCAGAGACACCCCCCACACAGACACACCCCAGAGACACCCCACACACAUACCCACACAGACACCCCCCCCCACAUAUCCCAUACAGACAUACCCCAGAGACACACUCCAGACACACUCCACACACACACCCCAGAGACACACCCCACACACAGGCACUCCACACAGACACACCCCACACAGACACACCCACACACACUCCACACAGACACACCCCACACAGACAUACCACACACACAGACACACACCACAUACCUCACAUGUAGACAUGCCCCACACAGACUCGCUGCACACAGACACACCCCACACACAGACCCCACACAGACACCCCACUGGGGCUCCUUCCUGCUGUCACUCUCACCCGGACACUCUCCUUUCGCACCUGCAGGGCCGGCUCCAGGCCUCUCUUUGCCAGGGGCUUCUCUGCCUACCCACCCUCUGCCGAGAACACCCUCUCUGCACCCGAGCCUCACGCAGCCGUGCCCAGUGGAACACCCCACUCCUCCGGCUCCUCCAGGCAGGAUGAGCUCAGGCCCUGGGAGGGUCGGCACCGGGCCCGAGCCCCCCCACCCGGGCAGUUC